UACAGAGACUGCAAGCGUCAUUCGGAUUCACUGGGCGUAAAGGGUGCGCAGGCGGCCAAGUGUGUUAGGCGUGAAAGCCCGGGGCUUAACCUCGGAAUUGCACCUAAAACUACUUGGCUAGAGCAUUGGAGAGGGUAGCGGAAUUCACGGUGUAGCAGUGAAAUGCGUAGAUAUCGUGAGGAACACCAGAGGCGAAGGCGGCUACCUGGACAAUUGCUGACGCUCAGGCACGAAAGCGUGGGGAGCAAAAGGG
rnacentral:rRNA from 1 species